UACGUAGGGUGCAAGCGUUAAUCGGAAUACUGGGCGUAAAGCGUGCGCAGGCGGUUUUGUAAGUCUGACGUGAAAUCCCCGGGCUCAACCUGGGAAUUGCGUUGGAGACUGCAAGGCUGGAGUCUGGCAGAGGGGGUAGAAUUCCACGUGUAGCAGUGAAAUGCGGUAGAGAUGUGGAGGAACACCGAUGGCGAAGGCAGCCCCUGGGUCAAGACUGACGCUCAUGCACGAAGCGUGGGGAGCAACAGG
rnacentral:rRNA from 1 species